AGUGAACGCUGGCGGUAGGCCUAACACAUGCAAGUCGAACGGCAGCACAGUAAGAGCUUGCUCUUACGGGUGGCGAGUGGCGGACGGGUGAGGAAUACAUCGGAAUCUACUUUUUCGUGGGGGAUAACGUAGGGAAACUUACGCUAAUACCGCAUACGACCUACGGGUGAAAGCAGGGGAUCUUCGGACCUUGCGCGAUUGAAUGAGCCGAUGUCGGAUUAGCUAGUUGGCGGGGUAAAGGCCCACCAAGGCGACGAUCCGUAGCUGGUCUGAGAGGAUGAUCAGCCACACUGGAACGGAGACACGGUCCAGACUCCUACGGGAGGCAGCAGUGGGGAAUAUUGGACAAUGGGCGCAAGCCUGAUCCAGCCAUACCGCGUGGGUGAAGAAGGCCUUCGGGGUGUAAAGCCCUUUUGUUGGGAAAGAAAAGCAGCAGGUUAAUACCCCGCUGUUCUGACGGUACCCAAAGAAUAAGCACCGGCUAACUUCGUG
rnacentral:rRNA from 1 species